GACAGAGGAUGCAAGCGUUGUCCGGAUUUAUUGGGCUUAAAGAGUUCGUAGGUGGUUUGCUAAGUCUGAUGUUAAAUACUGGAGCUCAACUUCGGGACUGCAUUGGAUACUGGCAGACUUGAGUGUGGUAGAGGCAAUCGGAAUUCCAGGUGUAGCGGUGAAAUGCGUAGAUAUCUGGAGGAACACCGGUGGCGCAAGCGGAUUGCUGGGCCAUAACUGACACUGAGGAACGAAAGCUAGGGUAGCGAAUGGG
rnacentral:rRNA from 1 species